rnacentral:rRNA from 1 species
UCAGAUCGAACGCUGGCGGCGUGGCUAAAGCAUGCAAGUCGUACGCGAAAGUCCUUCGGGAACGAGUAGAGUGGCGAAAGGGCGAGGAAUACAUGGGUAACAUACCCCCGGCACAGGGAUAGCCGCGGGAAACCGCGGGUAAUACCUGAUAUGACCACGGCAUCUUAUGAUGCAGCGGUAAAAGGGUGGGGACCUUCGGGCCUACCGGCCAGGGAGUGGCCCAUGUCCUAUCAGCUUGUUGGUGAGGUAACGGGCUCACCAAGGCGACGACGGGUACCGGGGCUGAGAGGCUGAUCCGGCGCAUUGGGACUGAGACACUGCCCAGACUCCUACGGGAGGCUGCAGCGACGAAUAUUGCACAAUGGGCGCAAGCCUGAUGCAGCGACGCCGCGUGUGGGAGGAAGCCCCUCGGGGUGUAAACCACUGUCAGGGACCACCAAGCGACCCGGGCGAAUAGUCCGGGAAGUUGAGGAAUCCCAGAGGAAGUCACGGCUAACUUCGUGCCAGCAGCCGCGGUAAGACGAAGGUGGCAAGCGUUGUUCGGAAUCACUGGGCUUAAAGAGCACGUAGGCGGAUUGUCAAGCACUUUGUGAAAUCCCUCGGCUUAACCGAGGAAUUGCUUGGUGAACUGGCAGUCUUGAGGCAGGUAGAGGCACACGGAACUCUUGGUGGAGCGGUGGAAUGCGUAGAUAUCAAGAGGAACGCCAGAGGCGAAAGCGGUGUGCUGGGCCUGACCUGACGCUGAGGUGCGAAAGCCAGGGGAGCAAACGGGAUUAGAUACCCCGGUAGUCCUGGCCAUAAACGAUGUCCACUAGGCCUGAGGUGUUCUGACACACUUCCGGCCGAAACAAAAGCGUUAAGUGGACCGCCUGGGGAGUACGG